UGUAAAUUUAGUUUAUAGAAGCUGCUCAAUGAGAAAUUUUUAAUAGCCGCUUUUGUGCUAAGGUAGCAUAAUAAUUAGUUUUUUAAUUGAAAAAUAGAAUGAAUGCCAUCACCUUUGAGAUUGGUUUAAUAGGCUUAGUCUGAAGUUCAAAUUUUGAUGAAAAUUUCAAAAUAACUAGAUUAGACGAUAAGACCCUAAAAGCUCUCGUACGGGAAAAACAACAUAUUGUAACUGUCUAUUACGUUUAUUGGGGUAAUAAAGAACUAAUUUAUUUUUAAUUUUGUUUUAAGUUGAUCCUUAAGAAUAUCUAAAUAAGCUACUUUAGGGAUAACAGCAUAAUGAUAAUAAGAGCCCUUAUCAGUUUUAUCGCUUAUGACCUCGAUGUUGAAUUAAGACCCGAUUUGUGCAGAAACAAGCCACGGGCUGUCUGUUCGACAGAACUUUUC
rnacentral:rRNA from 1 species